GAUAACCGCUGAAAGCAUCUAAGCGGGAAGCCCCCUUCAAGAUAAGUUUUCCCUGAUUCCUUGAGAAUCCUAAAGGGCCCUUAAAGACUAUGAGGUUGAUAGGCAGGGUGUGUAAGCGUUGUGAGGCGUUGAGCUAACCUGUACUAAUUGCCCGUGAGGCUUGACUAU
rnacentral:ncRNA from 1 species